rnacentral:rRNA from 1 species
ACUGCUCAGUAACACGUGGAUAACCUGCCCAAGGGUCUGGGAUAACCCCGGGAAACUGGGGAUAAUACCGGAUGGAUCACUAGUGCUGGAAUGCUUGGUGGUCGAAAGGCAACGCCUUUGGAUGGGUCUGCGGCGGAUUAGGUUGACGCCGGUGUAACGUACCGGCGUGCCUGUAAUCCGUACGGGUUGUGGGAGCAAGAGCCCGGAGAUGGAUUCUGAGACACGAAUCCAGGCCCUACGGGGCGCAGCAGGCGCGAAAACUCUACAAUGCAGGCAACUGCGAUAGGGGGACAUCGAGUGGCAUCCACCUUGGGUGCCUGUCCAACCGUCUAAAAAACGGUUGUUAGCAAGGGCCGGGUAAGACCGGUGCCAGCCGCCGCGGUAAUACCGGCGGCUCGAGUGGUGGCCGAUAUUAUUGAGUCUAAAGGGUCCGUAGCCAGCUUUGCAAGUCCCCUGGGAAAUCCAGCGGCUUAACCGUUGGGCUUUCAUGGGAUACUACAUUGCUUGGGACUGGGAGAGGUAGGAGGUACUCGGGGGGUAGGGGUGAAAUCCUGUAAUCCUCCGGGGACCACCGGUGGCGAAGGCGUCCUACCAGAACAGGUCCGACGGUGAGGGACGAAAGCUAGGGGCACGAACCGGAUUAGAUACCCGGGUAGUCCUAGCCGUAAACGAUGCCCGCUAGGUGUCACGACGGUCGUGAAUCGACGUGGUGCCGUAGGGAAGCCGCGAAGCGGGCCACUUGGGAAGUACGGCCGCAAGGCUGAAACUUAAAGGAAUUGGCGGGGGAGCAC